rnacentral:rRNA from 1 species
AACGAACGCUAGCGGGAUGCUUCAAACAUGCAAGUCGUACGCGAAAGCUCUUCGGAGUGAGUAGAGUGGCGCACGGGUGAGUAACACGUAGCUAACGUACCCUUUCGCUGGGGACAACUUCGGGAAACCGAAGCUAAUACCGAAUGAUCUUUUAGAAUCUGCGGAUUUUAUUGGUAAAGCCUUCGGGCGCGAAAGGAUCGGGCUGCGGCGCAUUAGCUUGAUGGUGGGGUAAAGGCCUACCAUGGCAACGAUGCGUAGCUGGUCUGAGAGGAUGAUCAGUCACACUGGAACUGGAACACGGUCCAGACUCCCACGGGAGGCAGCAGUUGGGAAUAUUGGACAAUGGGGGAAACCCUGAUCCAGCAAUCCCGCGUGAGGGAUGAAGGCCUUCGGGUCGUAAACCUCUUUCGACAGGGAAGAAGGGAAACUUGACGGUACCUGUAGAAGAAGCACCGGCUAACUACG